UCCACGCGAAUAUUAGUGCCACUAUCCCAAUAAGAACACCAAAAAAAGCUUCGAAUCUUCUCACACCAUAGUUCUCAAAAAAGAGAAAAAUAAAACUGUAACAAGGCAACAAAAUUUAAGCACACAGCAUCAUGAUCACUUGCACAGACAGCAUGACAUCGUCCCCCUUUGCCUCUGCUGUCGUCGGCGUUCUUUUCCUUUCCUUUCCCAUAGCUUGCUUCAUCAUCACUUAACAUUGCAUCCUCCUACUCUAUUUUGAAUAUGGGGGUCAUCAUCUCAUCUCAUCUCAUGCUGCCAAAACCAGCUGUCCAAUUUGCUUUACAGUGAUGAUCAAGUGGGAGAUUCAAGUGCUUGGGAAGAGAAAAAAAUUGCAUUGGGAUAUAUACUGAUUCUGAAGAAGCCAACAUUCCAUCUGUCUUGGAUUAUGAGGGAACUGUCAUUGGGAUAUGGGGCUUCAAAGGUCCACAAGUGCCUUGGUAUGAUGCAUCCCCGCCAUAAUAUUAAGUUUUUGAAUUUAAACUUGAUGAUUGGUGAAACUUGACUUGAUGGUUUAGCUCCCUAACCUACAAUUUUGUGGUAGCAUGGUCUAUGUCUAUGUAUUGUCUUUUGAUAAGUCACUUCUGGAUUUCUGGGUUUCCUGUAGUCUGUUGAAAAAUAUUCUGAAACCAGUUAAACACCCUUAUCCUUUCAACGAUCAUAUUGUUAUAUAUGUUCGCUAUCUAGGACCAGGGGUUUCGGUAGCGCAAGCAUGGCAAGAGGGAAAUAACUUAGAGCAAGUACCACGAAAACUAUGUUGCGAGAUUUUAAUGGUGAAGGAUUACACAUCAUAACAAGAAGACCAGUGAAGAAAGUUACCAAUCCUCCCACGGAUAAAGUUGAGAGACUUUUUUUGUUAGCACUUUGCACAUUCACAGUGUCUCCUAAGUGAUGAUUGGCAGACAGGUAAUUUUUUGAGGCACAUAUGAGGGGUGGUUUAGCUCCCACCUCCAUGUUUGCUGUUUCUGUACAGACAAACUCAUUGUAGAGCAAGUACAGAGAAUAGCACAUUGAAUGAUUUAGUGUUACAUGUAUUAAGCAGAAAAGUAAGAUAAAAUGAGAAGUGACUGCUACAUUACUGAGCAUAGCAAUGUGUAAUAUCCUCCUUCAAACUCUCAUUUGUAACUUUUAGCCAUAAAAUAUCUGGUUUGAAUUCUGAAAUGUUGAACAUACUGAAGUACUGUUUUGUUUCUGUAAAAUCCAUGUAUAGUUCAACCUCACCUGUGAUGUCGGAUAGGAGCAAUUUGCAUUUCCCUUUCUUCAACAGUAACUGUCUACUGUACUAUCACUUAUGAAUUAUAAUAUAUGAAAUAUAA